GAGCUCUCGAGGAGAGAGCGAUCAUGCGGCUAGCUCGUAUGGUUCUACACCUCUCUCAUCGGGUGGUAAGCUCUAACACUUAAUUUAUAUAUUUUUAUUUAUAUUAUUUUAUCAUUUGUUAACUAAUAUCAUAUUUUUUGUAUUAGAUGUUUUGUGCUCAGAUUCAGAAGAUAGGGGGUCACUAGUGAUCCCACAGUCACAUGCAGUAGCAACCGCUGGCUCUCAGACACAGCACCGUGAUCGAGCUCAUGGCUGUUAGAAAAUCAAAAAGACAA
rnacentral:lncRNA from 1 species